UUUCCGUAGGUGAACCUGCGGAAGGAUCAUUACUAAUUAGUGUAUUACGGCACUUUUUUAAAUCCAUUUCCACCUUGUGUGCAAUGUUAGGGUUGAUUUUCGCCCGAGAGGAUCAACCCCAAACAUCAACUAUAGCCCAACUCUUUGUCUGAGAAAUAUUAUGAAUAAAACAAAUCAAUAUACAACUUUCAACAACGGAUCUCUUGGCUCUC
rnacentral:misc_RNA from 1 species